UGGUUUUUGCGUCUCUGUUUCACGUCCAG
rnacentral:sRNA from 1 species